rnacentral:sRNA from 1 species
AUUCGUUUGAGUGGUGGCAAACCGUUUCUGGGAGCAGUUAUUGUGCAUUGCCUGUGCCUGUGCCUGCGCCCGUACAAUGUUGCACGAUCUCAUGGAUUUUUAUUGAAUGAUUGAUUUGCUUUUCAAUAGGUGAUUUUCUGGAGGGAGUAAGGUAAGGUGAUGAUGAUGGAAAGAGCACGAACACGAGGGCCAGGCGAUGAUCAGGACAAUCAUAGGGGAUGGUUUUUCACGAAACACGUCGGGGCUGUCUGUGACUUUUCUUUUGAUGGGAUGUUGACAGGGUGUCACUCUUGCCUUGCUCAAUCUGAACGAAAAAGCAAACUUCCGCAAAAUUGACUGGCAGCCAGGGGAGUCCCUUGAAACAAACUUCCAGCG